rnacentral:lncRNA from 1 species
GUUAGAACCCCCAAGCACAGCUCCAGUCCCCAUGACCCCCGUCUUUUCAUCCUUGAUGCCCUGGCCACUCCUCCCUGGACCCCAGCCCCUCCCUAGGCUGGUCACCACCAUCACUUAGGCUACUCUCUCCACUCCCAAUGACACUUCCAGCUCACCCCUGCUCCAGCUACUCCUCACUCCACGCAGCUCCUGCUGUGCAGCCACCUCUGUGCUCCAAGGAGGACCCCUGGGUCAGAUGAAGACCUCAUUGCCUCCCCAAGGGCCUCACCACACAGUGGGCAUUACUCACAACAGCAAAAAAUGGAAGCAACCCAAGUACCCAUCGACGGAUGAAUGGAUAAAGAAAAUAUAUGGUCUAUUCAUACAAUGGAAUAUUAUUCAGCCUUAAAAAGGAAGGAAAUUCUGACCCAUGCUGCAACAUGGAUGAGCCUUGAGGACAUUAUGCUCAGUGGAAUAAUCCAAGUCACAAAAGAACAAAUACUGUAUAAUUCCACUUACGUGAGAUCCCUAGAGGAGUCAAAUUCAUGGAGUCAGAAAGUAGAAUGGUGGCUGUGGGUGCCAGGGGCAGGGGAAGGGGGAACGGGAGUCAGUGUUUAAUGGGGACAGAGUUUCAGUUUGGGAAGAGGAAAAAGUUCUGGAGCCCGAUGGUGGUGAUGGUUGCAUAGCAAUGUGAAUGUACUUCAUGCCACUGAAAUGUACAUUUAAAAAUGGUUAUCAUGCUAAAUUUUAUGCUGUGUGUAUUUUACCACAAUUUUUAAAGAAAAGUAGCAGAGGUUCAUGUGAGGAAGGGAAAGGCAGGCCAGGAAACUGGUGUGUGGCACUGAGUCAGCUCUGCCUUGCUCCCCAACUCCAGGGACGGCCACCUCUGUAACAAGAUAAGGCCUCGUUGAGGCUGGACAGGUACAUUUAGUUCCACCAGGGUGGGGCCCCUUGCUACUUCUGUGUGAUGGGCCUGGCAUGAGAGGUGUUGAGGGACAAUUGCCUGCAAGAGCAAACUGGUCUUGAAAUAGGACCUGUACACUCAUCUGGCCCUAUCUUUAAUUUUCUGUAGAAAAUGAAAUAUUUAAA